GCAGGCUGCAACUCGCCUGUAUGAAGUCGGAAUUGCUAGUAAUCGUGGAUCAGCAUGCCACGGUGAAUACGUUCCCGGGCCUUGUACACACCGCCCGUCACACCAUGAGAGUUGGGGAUACCCGAAGCCUGUGAGCUAACUUUAUAAGGAGCAGCAGUCGAAGGUAGAAUCAAUGAUUGGGGUGAAGUCGUAACAAGGUAUC
rnacentral:rRNA from 1 species